CAUGUCUUUUUGAUUUUUAAUUUAAAGUCUAUUCUGCCCAGUGUUAACUAUAAAUGGCCGCAGUAUUUUGACUGUGCAAAGGUAGCAUGAUAAAUAGUUUUUUUAUUGGAAACUGGUAUGAAGGAGUGGACGAGAGGAAAGCUUUUUUAAUUAAAUGGGCGAUUAAUUUUAUUUUUGAGUUAAAAAGCUUAAAUAUUUUUAUUAGACGAGAAGACCCUAUAGAGUUUAAAAUUUCUGAUUUUGAAUUAAUUUGGUUAGAUUUUCUAAUUUUUAAUUAUUAAUUUUUGGUUGGGGUGACUAGAAGAUUAAUUAAACUCUUUAAUGUUUAAACAAUGAUUCUUGAUUAGUUGAUCUGUUUUUAUGAUUUUAAGAUUAAAUUACCUUAGGGAUAACAGCGUAAUUUUUUAUAGAGUUCUUAUUGAAUAAAAAGAUUGCGACCUCGAUGUUGGAUUAAAAUUAUAUUUUUGGUGUAGAAGCUGAAUAAUUGAGUCUGUUCGACUUUUGAAAUUUUACAUGAUCUGAGU
rnacentral:rRNA from 1 species